rnacentral:rRNA from 1 species
UACCCUCGGGUGGGGGAUAACCUCGGGAAACUGAGGCUAAUACCCCAUAGGCCUCGGAUACUGGAAGGUUCCGAGACCGAAAGCUCCGGCGCCCGAGGAUGGGUCUGCGGCCUAUCAGGUAGUUGGUGGUGUAAAGGACCACCAAGCCUACGACGGGUACGGGCCCUGAGAGGGGGAGCCCGGAGAUGGACUCUGAGACACGAGUCCAGGCCCUACGGGGCGCAGCAGGCGCGAAACCUUCGCAAUGCGCGAAAGCGCGACGAGGGGAGCCCGAGUGCCCUUCCUUUCGGGAGGGCUUUUCUGGAGCCUAAAAAGCUCCAGGAAUAAGGGCUGGGCAAGACGGGUGCCAGCCGCCGCGGUAAUACCCGCAGCUCGAGUGGUGGCCACUAUUAUUGAGCCUAAAGCGUCCGUAGCCGGACCCGUAAAUCCCUGGGUAAAUCCUGGCGCUCAACGUCAGGAAUUCCGGGGAGACUGCGGGUCUUGGGACCGGGAGAGGCCGGAGGUACU